rnacentral:rRNA from 1 species
GGCUAAUUAAGUCAAAUGUGAAAUCCCCGACUUAACUUGGGAAUGCAUCGAUACUGGUUACUAAGUAUGGGAAGAUGGUAAAUCCAGUGUACGGUGAAAUGGUAAGAUCUGGAGGAAUACCGAUGGCGAAGACCAUCUGGCCUAUACUGACUGAGUGCGAAAGCAUGGGGAGCAAACAGGAUUAGAUACCCUGGUAGUCCAUGCCGUAAACGAUGUCUACUAGCCGUUGGGGCCUUUGAGGCUUUAGUGGCGCAGCUAACGCGAUAAGUAGACCGCCUGGGGAGUACGGUCGCAAGACUAAAACUCAAAUGAAUUGACGGGGGCCCGCACAAGCGGUGGAGCAUGUGGUUUAAUUCGAUGCAACGCAAAGAACCUUACCUGGCCUUGACAUACAGAGAACUUUCCAGAGAUGGAUUGGUGCCUUCGGGAACUCUGAUACAGGUGCUGCAUGGCUGUCGUCAGCUCGUGUCGUGAGAUGUUGGGUUAAGUCCCGCAACGAGCGCAACCCUUUUCCUUACUUGCCAGCAUUUCGGAUGGGAACUUUAAGGAUACUGCCAGUGACAAACUGGAGGAAGGCGGGGACGACGUCAAGUCAUCAUGGCCCUUACGGCCAGGGCUACACACGUGCUACAAUGGUCGGUACAAAGGGUUGCUACACAGCGAUGUGAUGCUAAUCUCAAAAAGCCGAUCGUAGUCCGGAUUGGAGUCUGCAACUCGACUCCAUGAAGUCGG